UCUUGGUCAUUUAGAGGAAGUAAAAGUCGUAACAAGGUCUCCGUUGGUGAACCAGCGGAGGGAUCAUUACAGGGCUCGCAAGACUCCCGUAACCCACUGUGAACCUACUAUAACUUGUUGCCUCGGCGGGCGCUCCGGUUCGCCCGGAGCGCUGCGCCCGCCGGUGGCUCGCUACUCUGUCUCGUGCGUUUGGCAUCUCCGAGUCCACUAAACGAGUCAAAACUUUCAGCAACGGAUCUCUUGGUUCUGGCAUCGAUGAAGAACGCAGCGAAAUGCGAUAAGUAAUGUGAAUUGCAGAAUUCAGUGAAUCAUCGAAUCUUUGAACGCACAUUGCGCCCGCCGGUAUCCCGGCGGGCAUGCCUGUUCGAGCGUCAUUUCAACCCUCAGGCCCUGCCUGGCGUUGGGGUCCUGCGCCUGCAGUCCCCGAAAGACAGUGGCGGGUGCGCCCUACGACCGAACGCAGUAGCGUAUCUCGUUCUGGUUCGGGGCGCCCUCCGGCCGUAAAACUCCUUUCUCUCAUGGUUGACCUCGGAUCAGGUAGGAAUACCCGCUGAACUUAAGCAUAUCAAUAAGCGGAGGA
rnacentral:rRNA from 1 species